rnacentral:rRNA from 1 species
ACCAGACUCCUACGGGAGGCAGCAGUGGGGAAUAUUGCACAAUGGGGGAAACCCUGAUGCAGCGACGCCGCGUGAGUGAAGAAGUAUCUCGGUAUGUAAAGCCCUAUCAGCAGGGAAGAACAAUGACGGUACCUGACUAAGAAGCACCGGCUAAAUACGUGCCAGCAGCCGCGGUAAUACGUAUGGUGCAAGCGUUAUCCGGAUUUACUGGGUGUAAAGGGAGCGCAGGCGGCGCGUUAAGCCUGGUGUGAAAGCCCGCGGCCCAACCGCGGGACUGCAUUGGGAACUGGCGCGCUGGAGUGCCGGAGGGGUAGGCGGAAUUCCUGGUGUAGCGGUGAAAUGCGUAGAUAUCAGGAGGAACACCGGCGGCGAAGGCGGCCUGCUGGACCGUGACUGACGUUGAGGCUCGAGAGCGUGGGGAGCAAACAGGAUUAGAUACCCCCGUAAG